UACGUAGGGGGCUAGCGUUGUCCGGAAUCAUUGGGCGUAAAGAGCGUGUAGGCGGCCUGGUAAGUCCGCUGUAAAAGUCAAAGGCUCAACCUUUGAAUGUCAGUGGAUACUGCCGGGCUAGAGUCCGGAAGAGGCGAGUGGAACUCCUGGUGUAGCGGUGGAAUGCGCAGAUAUCAGGAGGAACACCGGUGGCGAAGGCGGGUCUCUGGGCAGUAACUGACGCUGAGGAGCGAAAGCGUGGGGAGCGAACAGG
rnacentral:rRNA from 1 species